ACGAACGCUGGCGGCAUGCCUAACCCAUGCAAGUCGAACGAAGCCUUCGGGCUUAGUGGCGCACGGGUGCGUAACGCGUGGGAAUCUGCCCCUUGCUUCGGAAUAACAGUUAGAAAUGACUGCUAAUACCGGAUGAAGUCUUCGGACCAAAGAUUUAUCGGCAAGGGAUGAGCCCGCGUAGGAUUAGGUAGUUGGUGGGGUAAAGGCCUACCAAGCCGACGAUCCUUAGCUGGUCUGAGAGGAUGAUCAGCCACACUGGGACUGAGACACGGCCCAGACUCCUACGGGGGGCAGCAGUGGGGAAUAUUGGACAAUGGACGCAAGUCUGAUCCAGCAAUGCCGCGUGAGUGAUGAAGGCCUUAGGGUUGUAAAGCUCUUUUACCAGGGAUGAUAAUGACAGUACCUGGAGAAUAAGCUCCGGCUAACUCCGUG
rnacentral:rRNA from 1 species